rnacentral:hammerhead_ribozyme from 1 species
AUCCACCUGGCGAGUUUCGAAUAGGACGAAACGCGCGUCCUGGAU